AGCAGCGUGGCUCAGUGGAAAGAGCACGAGCUUAGAAGUCGGAGGUCAUGGGUUCUAAUCCCAGCUCUGUCA
rnacentral:tRNA from 1 species